rnacentral:tRNA from 1 species
GGUGGGUUGGCUCUUUGGUUAGAGCGUAGGUCUCGUAACCGAAAGAUUGCGAGAUCGAAUCCCGCUAGAGGCUG